rnacentral:rRNA from 1 species
UACCGAGGGUGCAAGCGUUGUUCGGAAUUAUUGGGCGUAAAGGGCGUGUCGGCGGCUUGUUCAGUCUUCUGUGAAAUCUACGGGCUUAGCCUGUAACGUGCAGAGGAAACUGGCGAGCUUGAGUGUCGGAGAGGGUAGCGGAAUUCCCGGUGUAGAGGUGAAAUGCGUAGAGAUCUGGAGGAAUACCGAUGGCGAAGGCAGCCUUCUGGCCUAAUACUGACGCUGAGGUGCGAAAGCAUGGGGAGCAAACAGG